CCAAUAGCGUAUAUUAAAGUUGUUGCAGUUAAAAAGCUCGUAGUUGAAUUUCGGGAUCAAUAUGUUGGUCGUGCCUUGGUACGUACUAGUUUAUUGAUUUCUUCCGUCUGACGAAUCAUGAUGUCAUUAAUUUGGUGUCAUGGGGAAUCAGGACUGUUACUUUGAAAAAAUUAGAGUGUUUAAAGCAGGCUCACGCUUGAAUACAUUAGCAUGGAAUAAUGAAAUAGGACGUUUGAUUCUAUUUUGUUGGUUUCUAGGAUCGACGUAAUGAUUAAUAGGGAUAGUUGGGGGCAUUAGUAUUCAAUUGUCAGAGGUGAAAUUCUUGGAUUUAUUGAAGACUAACUACUGCGAAAGCAUUUGCCAAGGAUGUUUUCAUUAAUCAAGAACGAAAGUUAGGGGAUCGAAGACGAUCAGAUACCGUCGUAGUCUUAACCAUAAACUAUGCCGACUAGGGAUCGGAUGAUGUUAAUUUUUUAAUGACUCAUUCGGUGCCUUACG
rnacentral:rRNA from 1 species